UAAAAUAAAAAACUGAAAAGCUUUUCUCACAAAUCUUGUGAAAAAUUACAUGAGUUGAUGCAAACAAGAGCAAAGAUUAAGGAAUUGUACAAUAUUCCAUAACACAUCAUGCUUUAUUGAAACAGAAAGAAAGCAUAUCAAAUAUCAUCAUCACUAAUCGGUGAAACCUUCUGCACCGGCAACGGGUAAUAAUCAGCAGCAUGUUUCCCCAAUGCCACCUUCACUGCAUCGGCUGCAUCUUCUCCAGUCACUACCAUUGCGAUAUGAUCAGCAGAAUUGAUCAAUGGUAAAGUGAAAGUGAUCCUAGGAGGUGGUGGUUUGGGUGAAUCUGUUAUGAAAGUCACCCAUUUUGUCUUCUCAAACCGCUGAAAAUACCAGCAGAAGAGCGAUGCAACGUGGCCUUCUGGACCCAUUCCGACUAACAUCAGGUCGAAUUUAGCAAAACCUGUAGUUGGUGAUGUUUUUAGUGUAUUGUUUGCUACCAAGUGUUUAAGCCGUUGCUCAUAUUCGUCCGCUGCUUCCUCGGGUGAUAGUUUUUCUUUGAUGGAGAAGAUGUUAGAUGCCGCUUGUCAAUUUGUAGCAUAA
rnacentral:lncRNA from 1 species